GCGGGUACAGCUGAGCGGUAGAGUGCGUGCUUAGCAUGCACGAAGUUCUGGGUUUGAUGCCCAGUACCUCCA
rnacentral:tRNA from 1 species